rnacentral:rRNA from 1 species
CUACGGGCCGCUGCAGUGAGGAAUAUUGCACAAUGGGGGGAACCCUGAUGCAGCAACGCCGCGUGGAGGAUGACACUUUUCGGAGCGUAAACUCCUUUUAUAUAGGAAGAAGAUGACGGUACUAUAUGAAUAAGCGCCGGCUAACUCCGUGCCAGCAGCCGCGGUAAUACGGAGGGCGCAAGCGUUACUCGGAAUCACUGGGCGUAAAGAGCGUGUAGGCGGAUUAAAAAGUCAGAAGUGAAAUCCUAUAGCUUAACUAUAGAACUGCUUCUGAAACUCUUAAUCUAGAAUAUGGGAGAGGUAGAUGGAAUUUCUGGUGUAGGGGUAAAAUCCGUAGAGAUCAGAAGGAAUACCGAUUGCGAAGGCGAUCUACUAGAACAUUAUUGACGCUGAGACGCGAAAGCGUGGGGAGCAAACAGGAUUAGAUACCCGUGUAGUC